rnacentral:rRNA from 1 species
GUUAUAUGAUCAAGUGAAUAAGUGCAUACGGUGGAUGCCUUGGCAGUUAGAGGCGAUGAAAGACGUAAGAGCCUGCGAAAAGCUUCGGGGAGGUGGCAAAUAACCUUUGAUCCGGAGAUGUCUGAAUGGGGAAACCCACUGACCAUAAGGUCGGUAUCAUGCACUGAAUACAUAGGUGUAUGAGGCGAACCUGGGGAACUGAAACAUCUAAGUACCCAGAGGAAAAGAAAUCAACCGAGAUUCUGUGAGUAGCGGCGAGCGAAAGCGGAUUAGCCCAAAAGUUUAUUAUGUUGUAGUGGAACACUCUGGGAAGUGUGGCGAUAGAGGGUGAUAGCCCCGUACACGAAACGGCAUAUUAGAUGAAACAAGAGUAGGUCGGGACACGUGUUAUCCUGAUUGAAGAUGGGGGGACCAUCCUCCAAGGCUAAAUACUCCUAACUGACCGAUAGUGAACUAGUACCGUGAGGGAAAGGCGAAAAGAACCCCGUUUAGGGGAGUGAAAUAGAACCUAAAACCGUAUGCAUACAAGCAGUGGGAGCAUCCUUUUUGUGAUGUGACUGCGUACCUUUUGUAUAAUGGGUCAGCGAGUUAUUUUUAGUGGCGAGGUUAAGCGCAUAGCGGAGCCGUAGGGAAACCGAGUCUGAAUAGGGCGUUAGUCGCUAGGAAUAGACCCGAAACCGAGUGAUCUAUCCAUGGGCAGGUUGAAGGUUGAGUAACAUCAACUGGAGGACCGAACCCACUGUCGUUGAAAAGCCAGGGGAUGACCUGUGGAUAGGAGUGAAAGGCUAAUCAAACUCGGAGAUAGCUGGUUCUUCGCGAAAGCUAUUGAGGUAGCGCCUCGUAAUAGACUUCUGGGGGUAGAGCACUGUUUCGGCUAGGGGCCCAUCCCGGGUUACCAACCCGAUGCAAACUCCGAAUACCAGAAAGUUGUUUUACGGGAGACACACGGCGGGUGAUAAGGUCCGUCGUGGAGAGGGAAACAGCCCAGACCGCCAGUUAAGGUCCCUAAAUAUUACUAAGUGGUAAACGAUGUGGGAAGGCUUAGACAGCUAGGAGGUUGGCUUAGAAGCAGCCAUCCUUUAAAGAAAGCGUAAUAGCUCACUAGUCGAGUCGGCCUGCGCGGAAGAUUUAACGGGGCUAAGUAAUAUACCGAAACUGCGGGUUCAUAAUUUAUUAUGAGCGGUAGCGAAGCGUUCUGUAGGCCGGAGAAGGUGAUCUGAGAGGGUUGCUGGAGGUAUCAGAAGUGAGAAUGCUGACAUGAGUAACGAUAAAGGGGGUGAGAAUCCCCCUCGCCGGAAGUCCAAGGUUUUCUACGCAACGUUCGUCGACGUAGAGUGAGUCGGCCCCUAAGGCGAGGCAGAAAUGCGUAGUCGAUGGGAAUCAGGUUAAUAUUCCUGAACUUCUUACAAUUGCGAUGUGGAGACGGAGAAGGCUAGGCCAGCGCAGUGAUGGUUAUCUGCGUUUAAGGUGGUAGGCAGAGUACUUAGGCAAAUCCGGGUACUUAAUGCUGAGAGCUGAUGACGAAGCCACUUUUAGUGGUGAAGUGGUUGAUGCCCUGCUUCCAGGAAAAUCCUCUAAGCUUCAGAUUGUAAGAAACCGUACCCGAAACCGACACAGGUGGACAGGUAGAGAAUACCAAGGCGCGUGAGAGAACUCAGGUGAAGGAACUAGGCAAAAUGGUACCGUAACUUCGGGAGAAGGUACGCCCUGGCUGGUGAUGGACUUUACGUCCUAAGCUGGUUGGGGCCGCAGAGACCAGUUGGCUGCGACUGUUUAUUAAAAACAUAGCACUGUGCGAACUCGAAAGAGGAUGUAUACGGUGUGACGCCUGCCCGGUGCCGGAAGGUUAAUUGAUGGGGUUAGCGUAAGCGAAGCUCUUGAUCGAAGCCCCGGUAAACGGCGGCCGUAACUAUAACGGUCCUAAGGUAGCGAAAUUCCUUGUCGGGUAAGUUCCGACCUGCACGAAUGGCGUAACGAUGGCCAAGCUGUCUCCACCUGAGACUCAGUGAAAUUGAAAUCGCUGUGAAGAUGCAGUGUAUCCGCGGCUAGACGGAAAGACCCCGUGAACCUUUACUACAGCUUUGCGCUGGACUUUGAGACUAUCUGUCGGAGGAGUACGAAGGUGUGCUAAGCAUGGUCGGACAUCAUGCGGUUAGUAUAAAGGCAAAAGCACGCUUGACUGCGAGACGGACAUGUCGAGCAGGUACGAAAGUAGGUCUUAGUGAUCCGGUGGUUCUGUAUGGAAGGGCCAUCGCUCAACGGAUAAAAGGUACUCCGGGGAUAACAGGCUGAUACCACCCAAGAGUUCAUAUCGACGGUGGUGUUUGGCACCUCGAUGUCGGCUCAUCUCAUCCUGGGGCUGUAGCAGGUCCCAAGGGUAUGGCUGUUCGCCAUUUAAAGAGGUACGCGAGCUGGGUUUAGAACGUCGUGAGACAGUUCGGUCCCUAUCUGCCGUGGACGUUGGAGAUUUGAGAGGGGUUGCUCCUAGUACGAGAGGACCGGAGUGAACGAACCUCUGGUGUUCCGGUUGUGUCGCCAGACGCAUUGCCGGGUAGCUAUGUUCGGAAUAGAUAACCGCUGAAAGCAUCUAAGCGGGAAGCUAGCCUCAAGAUGAGAUCUCCCUGAGGGCUUGACCCUCCUAAAGGCUCGUCUAAGACUAAGACGUUGAUAGGUUGGAUGUGGAAGUGCAGUAAUGUAUGAAGCUAACCAAUACUAAUUCGCCGUGAGGCUUGGUCAUAUAACCCCAAGGGGUUU